rnacentral:tRNA from 1 species
GCCGAUAUGAUGAAAUUGGUAAACAUACGUGAUUCAAAAUCACGCGCCGCAAGGCUUCCCGGUUCAAGUCCGGGUAUCGGUACCA